rnacentral:rRNA from 1 species
AUUGAACGCUGGCGGCAUGCUUUACACAUGCAAGUCGAACGGUAACAGGCCGCAAGGUGCUGACGAGUGGCGAACGGGUGAGUAAUGCAUCGGAACGUGCCCAGUCGUGGGGGAUAACGCAGCGAAAGUUGCGCUAAUACCGCAUACGAUCUAUGGAUGAAAGCGGGGGACCGUAAGGCCUCGCGCGAUUGGAGCGGCCGAUGUCAGAUUAGGUAGGUGGUGGGGUAAAGGCUCACAAAGCCGGCGAUCUGUAGCUGGUCUGAGAGGACGACCAGCAACACUGGGACUGAGACACGGCCCAGACUCCUACGGGAGGCAGCAGUGGGGAAUUUUGGACAAUGGGCGCAAGCCUGAUCCAGCAAUGCCGCGUGCAGGAAGAAGGCCUUCGGGUUGUAAACUGCUUUUGUACGGAACGAAACGGUCCUGGUUAAUACCCGGGGCUAAUGACGGUACCGUAAGAAUAAGCACCGGCUAACUACGUGCCAGCCGCCGCGGUAAUAC